rnacentral:misc_RNA from 1 species
AUAUAUAUAUAUAUUUAUAUAAAUUUAUAUACACACAUAACACAUAUAUACAUUAGUUCAACUUUGUGGUGGUGGUUAAGCUCACAUCAUUUUCAAUGUAUUUUAUCCAUUUUCUUCCCGAAAAAAACUAUAUUGCCACCAAAACCCACCAUCGAAUGGAAAAUAUAUAACAGCAGCAAUAACAUCAACUACAAUAAAAUAAUAUAAUAUUGAUAAUAUUAAUAAUAAUAACAACAUUAUUAUUAUUAUUAUUAUUAAUAUUAACAACCUACCCUCUAGGAAACAUACAUCUAAUUAAAGACUAGCCCCCCCUAAACGCCCUCUGAAAGCCCAAAAAAACAUAUACUUUGACAAGGAGCACCUGCCGUGGCAUCUACACCAAUAUCCAUCAUGUCGGGUCAGAGUAUUAUGGACCGCGUUAAUGCGGCCAGACACAGCAUCGCUGGUCAAGGGCUGGCCAAAUCUGUGUGUAAGGCCACCACAGAGGAAAUCAUGGGACCAAAGAAGAAGCAUCUUGAUUAUUUAGUCCAGUGUACAAACGAACCAAAUGUAUCAAUUCCACAAUUGGCUGAUCUCUUAAUUGAACGCACCCAGCACGGGAACUGGGUUGUUGUGUUUAAAUCGCUUAUUACAAUUCAGAACCUAAUGAACUUUGGUAACGAGCGUUUCACACAAUAUUUGGCCUCAAACAACUGCUCAUUCAACCUGAACAGUUUCUUGGAUAAAAGCGGGGUGCAAGCAUUACAACAAAACUUAACUGGCAACCCUGAUUUUUAUGCCCUCAUCAGACAAGCUCCGCAACAGCCUAUCCCAGGCUCUCCAGAUUUUCAUGCAAUCAAGCAAGGCUAUGACAUGUCAACUUUCAUUAGAAGAUAUGCCAAAUAUUUGAACGAAAAAGCCAUUUCUUACAGAUUAAUGGCAUUCGACUUCUGUAAAAUAAAGAGAGGAAAAGAUGACGGAACGUUAAGAACAAUGAAUGCAGAAAAGCUUUUGAAAACGUUGCCUGUUUUACAGAAACAAAUGGACGCCCUUCUUGAUUUUUAUUGCACACCAAAUGAAUUGACCAAUGGAGUUAUAAACGCUUGCUUCCUGCUUUUGUUUAAAGAUUUGAUCCGGUUAUUUGCUUGUUACAACGAUGGCAUUAUCAAUUUAUUGGAAAAAUAUUUUGAUAUGAAUAAAAAGCAAUGUAAAGAAGCUUUGGAUAUUUACAAGAAAUUCCUUGUUAGAAUGGAUAAAGUGUCAGAAUUUUUGAAAGUAGCCGAGAAUGUUGGAAUUGACAAAGGGGAUAUCCCAGACUUAGCUAAGGCACCUUCAAGUCUCCUAGAUGCCUUAGAGCAACAUUACGCAUCUUUAGAAGGCAAGAAAAUUCCAGGCUCUUCAUCUAAGCCAGCAGGCUUCACUGCUGCUCUGAAUACUAUGGCUGACCAAAAUGUUGCUUUUAGUGGUGUUUCAGAUGAUGAAAAAAGGAAAAUUCUCGAUGAUGAAACUCAGCGUUUGAAUCAAUUAAAGUCAACCGAAUUCUCAGAGACAACUAGUGCAAGCUCUGAUCAACGAAUUAAGGAAUUAAACCAGACCUCUCCACAGACCUCCCCACAGAAUCAGCCAGCUACGUAUGCGUCGACGAACCCCUUCAGCAGCGGCCCGGCAGAGGCCCUCACCUCCGACCUGCUUCUCGACACCAGCCUGACGACCACACAGCCCGCGAAACCCAUCAGUGACCUGCUCGGUUUGUCAGCCUCCACCAACCCCUUCGUCGACAGUCUUCCCACAAAUGCAGUGUCGCCAGGUCAAACCAACACAAUGACUUCUAUGGGCUGGACAGCGAAGCCAGCAUCCCCCGCCAUGAAUACCACAACCCAAGCCGGAGAAUCAGCAUUUACCACUGACGCAGCUUUUGCUGCUGCAUUCCCUAAUUCCUCAGUAUCAACAGCAGGGGUAAUGGACAUGAUAUCUCCUUCUAAUGCUGCUACCACUACUACUACUCCUUCUGCCUCUCUUGCUGCAAUGGCACAGAGCACUUCACCAGCGCCACCUGCAGUCCAUACGGAACUGGAAGACCUUCUCGAUCCGCUGGAAGCCCUCGAUCCGCUGGCCCCUAAACGACCUGUAAGCCCAGCGUUCGUUCGGCCAGUCAGUCCAGCCAUUGUCCCUCCGGCGAGUCCAGCCUUCAAUCGGCCGGUCAGUCCCGUCACUGGCUCCACCUUCAAUGCUCCGGUCAGUCCGUCUGCUACUGCUUUUAAUCCGCCAGCCAGCCCAUCAUCUUCGUGUUUCAAACCGCCAGCGAGUCCUUCAGCUCAGCGUAGCGUGACUCCUACCUACAUGGAUAACCGAGACAAAGGACUGCAGGACUUAACUAGUCCUGCAAUGACCACUGGAUCUGACCCAGGAUUUAAUGCUUUCGGUGAUGUGUUACAACCCCAGACUCAAACCCCUUCAAAGAAAGAACCAAUGAAGCUGAUUCAGGGAGAUUUGGAUCUCAGUUUGGCCCAGAUGGCAGCUAACUUAAACAUCAACGGCCCUGCAAGUCAAGUCAAGAAAACCGACCAUCAGUGGCAGCCAAAAGGGGAACAAAAGAAAACAGGCGGCGCCAAUUGGGCAGCACCGGUAUUGUCUUCUUCUACAACUUGGAAUAUGUCUCAGCCAGUACAGCCUGGCAUUGGUUUGUCGCCAACUGCUGGAGGUGGUGGACCACGUAUGCCAGCAGCUACUACCGGAAUGGCGGGAACAGAUUUGUUUGGCGCCAAGCCUCCUACAACAAAAUCUCAAACCCAACCAAAUGAUCCAUUUGGUGCUUUGUGAAAGCCGAAAUUUUUAUUGGCCAUCAAAGUGCUCUUGUGAACCAAGUACAGCAAUAUAUAUAUAUAUAUAAAUAUAUAUAUAUAUAUAUAUAUGUGGACAUCUACACACAAUCAACCAUACAUACCAAUAAUAUAUAUUGUGAUACACUGACACACAUACACACACACAUGCACACACAUAUAUAUAUAUACAGACAUAUACAAACUCAUACAUAUAUAGUUAAAUGUCUAUACAUACAUACACACAUAUAUAGAUGUAUGUACAUAAUAUUAUAUAUAUAUAUAUAUAUACAUAUAUAUGUUUGUGUAUAUGUAUGUAUGUAUGUAUGUAGAACAUUGGCCCAGUGUAUAUAAUGAACCUAUUUCCCAGUCUCCCUGCACUAAGAGGACACAAUAAUACGGACACAGCUUGGACACUUCUUUGUCUUUCUCUCUCUCUCUCUCUCUCUCUCUCUCUGUCCCUCUCUCUCUUAUACUCUCACUCAGUUUCACUCACACUCACACUCUAACACUGGAUAUGAAGUAUGACUCGAAGGAACCUUGAAGUAGUUUUGUCCAACGACAGAACAGUUGAGAUUGUCUGUGAAGAACGGAGACAGGAAAACUCAGAGCAGUGGCAGCAGGAAACCUCAGCUUCAAAUAACAGAUUAUAUCAACAAACAUACUCACUCACGAACACAUCUAUUUACAUGUAUAUAUAUAUACAUAUAUACAAUAACAAAUGGUAUAGGGUGAAUGUAUAUAUUAUAUGUAAAGAAUAUGGUACAACAAUGCACUAUAAUACAGACAAUGGGCUAUAUACCUGUUGUAAUUUAGUCAUCUAUAGUCUUUUGAUAUUUCGGACAAAUAUUCCUUCUUCAGAUAUUCUUAGAUGGAAUCGCUGAUAUAAUUGGUUUUACCAACGGCGUUUCUUU